UCCGCACCACGCGUCAUGCUCCAUCUAGGCUGGCUUGAAGCGCCUUGCCCGAACGGAGGUCCCCCUGUAAACCAACAGGACAACCUACCCGCUGGCCGACCCAAGAAGACCCUGGAGAACCCAACCCAACUCAACUCAACCCAACCCAACCCAACUCAACCCAACCGGGCCUGGUUUGGCGAGAAGCAGUCUCCCUCCGCCCCUACCCAAGGCGCGCCCAGAAGUUCGCCCUCCUUCCAAGAUUGAGACCUGGAGUGAAUUACAAUUCCCCAGAAGUGACUUUCAACAUACAACUCACUUACGUGGCACAGCAAAGAAGAGACAUGACCACAAAGAUAACUGGGAAGGCAUACAGUGCUCCUCUAGGGAAGGAGUGAGAGACGUGAGCCCAGAGAUCAUCCAGGUACUCUGACAACCAGGACCGACGGACACCUAUGGGAAUCAACCCAAAAGAUCCCUCAGCUUCUGAGGCAGAAUUGUAUCAUUUUCCCCAAUUUCUUGUGGGAGAACGAAACACAAAACACAUUUUUCAACCUGAAAUGGGAAGAACUGAGGAUAAACCCUUGGCUAAACAUGUAACUGCUGUUUAUAAAAUGCUGUUUUUACCUUAUUUCUUUUCAUCUUUUCAUGUAAAAGGCGGGAAACAGCCAGAGGACAAAUCGUUGUGAGGGGAA